UGGGGAAUUUUGGUCAAUGGGCGAAAGCCUGAACCAGCAACGCCGCGUGCAGGAUGAAGGCCCUCGGGUCGUAAACUGCUGUCGGGAGGGAAGAACGGCAUCAUGGUUAAUACCCAUGGUGUGUGACGGUACCUCCAAAGGAAGCGCCGGCUAACUCCGUGCCAGCAGCCGCGGUAAUACGGAGGGCGCAAGCGUUGUUCGGAAUUACUGGGCGUAAAGCGCAUGUAGGCGGUUUGGUCAGUCGGAUGUGAAAGCCCCGGGCUCAACCCGGGAAUUGCAUCCGAAACUUCCAGGCUAGAGUCCCGGAGAGGAAGGCAGAAUUCCCAGUGUAGGGGUGAAAUCCGUAGAUAUUGGGAGGAAUACCAGUGGCGAAGGCGGCCUUCUGGACGGUGACUGACGCUGAGAUGCGAAAGCGUGGGGAGCAAACAGGAUUAGAUACCCCCGUAGUCC
rnacentral:rRNA from 1 species